ensembl:lncRNA
CCGGGCGGGAAGGGAAGCGGCUCGGCGGGAGAGGCCGUUGGCCGCGCGCUGACUGGUUGGCGGCCCUUGGGGCGGGGGCGGCCUGUCGCGGCCGGGCUGCAGCAGGUCCCUCAUUUGUAUACAGAAAAAGGAUCAGCCAUGAAAUGUGUAAGAAAAAGAAGCACCGCCGAGCAGUUUGAGACUUGCGGCAUGUGGCUGGACACUGCAAAGUUAAAGAAGCGCAAAGUACAGGAGUUUACAAUCCAAGUUAGAGGGCUCACGAGGAGAUACAGCGUGGGAACAAGAGAGAUUGGCAGAGGAAGAAGCCUAGAGCAUUUUUACCUCUCCCUUAAAAAAAAAAAGCCAUCACUGAAUUGUCUCAGGUGUGGCAGUGAGGAGUAUCCUAACAGAGACUAGCAGUGCAAGGAAGGAUUUAAAGGUAAAGAGGUAGGAAAUGUGGCUUAUUGGGAAAGAAGGUUGUUCAAGCAGUGUGGUACAACUGUAGAUGAAAGGAGAUAAAGGGAAUAACAAUGAGAAGGGAGUUAUGUCACUGUUAACAAGUUAAAUUCACUCUAGCACUUCUCUCCCCACCCAGAUUCUCGUAUCCAAGCCAACUUCAAACAUGCCAAAUCCACUUCUUGAGAGGAACUAUAAUAGUCACAUUUCAGUUAAUUUUCCUCAGACAAGACUUUCUCAGCAAUACACCAGGCAAACUACCAUCUCUUCAUUCUUCAGCAUUCAACCAACAGGUAAAAAGGAUGAUGAAGAAAACUUAAAGCCAUAUCCUCUUCUGUCAAAUAAAACACACAAAGGAAAAGGCUCUGAUUUCUUGGCUGCCUCUAUAAAGAACACUGGGGCUGCUAAGUUAGAGGAAGCCCAGGCACCAACCUUGAGCCCUCAAGAGGACAACGUUCAGGAGCAUAGCCAGCCACUUGUACAAAACACACAAGGCUUGAACAGUCCCCUGCUGAACUAUACCUUCCCACAAGCACAGUCUAACAGCAGGAGUGAGUGCACAGCCAUUGCAAGGACCUCUGCUAGUGAGACAGAAGACUCUCUCUCCAUAAACUUCACCCAGGAUUCAGAGGGAAAUAGGGUUCUAGCUCACAGGAAUUCAGCUGACUCAUUCACUGGAAGAAUUUCUGUAGCUAAUGGGAUAAUUUCAAGGAAGAGAGAGAGUGAGGGUCAUUUGUGCUCUGAGAGGGGUAGAACUAGAGUGGGUCUCAAAUCUAAACACCUGAUGAAGCAAGGUAGGAGGAGAUGUGAAAACCUGCCCCCUGGUGGAAUUUCUUUUAUGGAUUUCUCAGAGAUUGAGAAUAUAUGUCCUGCUCCUAAGGGUAAUGAAGGCCAGCAGACUAAUUAUCUUCUAUCCCAGGGGCAAACAACUAAAGCAGACCUUUUGAGAGACAGUAGUCAAAAUGUUGCUGGCUUUUGGACAAGAAACUGUCACAGUAUGGCUGGUUCAGCAGAUGAGCAGGGGGCCAGUAAUAGUCCUACCCAGUUGUUUACCCAGGAUUCAGAGGGAUACAGAGUCAUUUCUCACCAGUGCUUUUAUGAGAGUGUCAGAUCUCCUUUGCAGAAAAAGUAUCUACAGGACAAAACCAACUUUGGCCACAAGGUGCCUAGCCCACCCUCUGUGGGCUGCUUAAAGGUUUAUUCUUCAGGGGCAUGGGACAGGACUCCUUUAGCUACUACAGCCAUGAAUUUAUGUGAGCCUGAGUCAUGCUAUGAUUUGCUAUUCACAGAGGAUUCAGAAGGAAAUAGAACUAUCAAACAUUGA